rnacentral:rRNA from 1 species
GACGAACGCUGGCGGCGUGCCUAAUACAUGCAAGUCGAACGCAGUGGGGACGGGUGAGUAACACGUGGGGAACCUCCCAUCAGAGGGGAUCACACUUGGAAACAGGUCCUAAACAGCUACUGGUGGAAGGACCCGUGGUGCAUUAGCUAGUUGGUGAGGUAACGGCUCACCAAGGCCACGAUGCAUAGCCGACUUGAGAGUGUGAUCGGCCACACUGGGACUGAGACACGGCCCAGACUCCUACGGGAGGCAGCAGUAGGGAAUCUUCGACAAUGGACGAAAGUCUGAUCGAGCAACGCCGCGUGAGUGAAGAAGGUUUUCGGAUCGUAAAACUCUGUUGUUAGAGAAGCGGUAUCUAACCAGAAAGCCACGGCUAACUACGUGCCAGCCGCCGCGGUAAUAC